rnacentral:rRNA from 1 species
CGCAGAGAAAAGCUGUGCUAAUACCGCAUACGAUCUAGGAUGAAAGCAGGGGAUCACAAGACCUUGCGCGAAAUGGAGCGGCCGAUGGCAGAUUAGGUAGUUGGUGAGGUAAAAGGCUCACCAAAACCGUCGAUCUGUAGCUGGUCUGAGAGGGACGACCAGCCACACUGGGACUGAGACACGGCCCAGACUCCUACGGGAGGCAGCAGUGGGGAAUUUUGGACAAUGGGCGAAAGCCUGAUCCAGCCAUGCCGCGUGCAGGAUGAAGGCCUUCGGGUUGUAAACUGCUUUUGUACGGAACGAAACGGCCUUUUCUAAUAAAGAGGGCUAAUGACGGUACCGUAAGAAUAAGCACCGGCUAACUACGUGCCAGCAGCCGCGGUAAUACGUAGGGUGCAAGCGUUAAUCGGAAUUACUGGGCGUAAAGCGUGCGCAGGCGGUUAUGUAAGACAGUUGUGAAAUCCCCGGGCUCAACCUGGGAACUGCAUCUGUGACUGCAUAGCUAGAGUACGGUAGAGGGGGAUGGAAUUCCGCGUGUAGCAGUGAAAUGCGUAGAUAUGCGGAGGAACACCGAUGGCGAAGGCAAUCCCCUGGACCUGUACUGACGCUCAUGCACGAAAGCGUGGGGAGCAAACAGG